rnacentral:rRNA from 1 species
GAUGAACGCUGGCGGCGUGCUUAACACAUGCAAGUCGAACGAAGCAAUUAUGAACAACUGGAGAGCUUGCUCGAAGGAAGGGAUUAAUUGACUGAGUGGCGGACGGGUGAGUAACGCGUGGGUAACCUGCCUCAUACAGGGGGAUAACAGUUAGAAAUGACUGCUAAUACCGCAUAAGCGCACAGUACCACAUGGUACGGUGUGAAAAACUCCGGUGGUAUGAGAUGGACCCGCGUCUGAUUAGCUAGUUGGCGAGGUAAUGGCUCACCAAGGCAACGAUCAGUAGCCGGCUUGAGAGAGUGAACGGCCACAUUGGGACUGAGACACGGCCCAAACUCCUACGGGAGGCAGCAGUGGGGAAUAUUGCACAAUGGGGGAAACCCUGAUGCAGCGACGCCGCGUGAGUGAAGAAGUAUUUCGGUAUGUAAAGCUCUAUCAGCAGGGAAGAUAAUGACGGUACCUGACUAAGAAGCCCCGGCUAACU